UACGUAGGGGGCAAGCGUUGUCCGGAAUCAUUGGGCGUAAAGAGCGUGUAGGCGGCCCGGUAAGUCCGCUGUGAAAGUCGAGGGCUCAACCCUCGAAUGCCGGCGGAUACUGUCGGGCUAGAGUCCGGAAGAGGCGAGUGGAAUUCCUGGUGUAGCGGUGAAAUGCGCAGAUAUCAGGAGGAACACCAACAGCGAAGGCAGCACUCUGGGCCGGUACUGACGCUGAGGAGCGAAAGCAUGGGGAGCGAACAGG
rnacentral:rRNA from 1 species